rnacentral:rRNA from 1 species
AGUUCCUGCCCUAUGGUUUUCUUAAUGGCUGCAGUAUUUUGACUGUGCAAAGGUAGCAUAAUAAUUAGCUUCUUAAUUAGAAGCUGGUAUGAAUGGAUUUAUGAGAAAUAUAUUUUAUUUAUUUUAAUUUUAGAAUUUAAAUUCUGAGUUAAAAUGCUUAGGUUUAUUAUAGGGACGAUAAGACCCUAUAGAACUUUACAUAAAUAUUUAGGUUAAUUAUUUGUUAAUGAAAUAUAUUAACAUAUUUGUAUGUUUUGCUGGGGUGGUAGUUAAAUAUUUAACUUUAAUUAUUUAAUUCAUUUAUUUAUGUUAUUUUUGAUCCUAUUUAAUUAGAUUGUAAGAUAUAGUUACCUUAGGGAUAACAGCGUAAUUUUAAUGGGGAGUUCAUAUUUAUAUUAAUUUUUGCGACCUCGAUGUUGAAUUAAGGUAAGUUUAAGGGGCAGGUUUCUUUAUACUAAGUC